UUAAAGAGUGCGUAAUAGCUCACUGGUCGAGUGAAUUUGCGCGGAAAAUUACCGGGGCUAAGCUAUACACCGAAAUUGCGGGUUAUGAUGUAUCUAAUAAUGUGUAUCAUAAUAAGAAGAUAAAUUUUCUGUUAAAAACAUGAAAUGUUUUUAACCAAAAUGUUCAAAAGGAUAAGGUAUACAAGAAAAGGUGCAUAUUAUUAGAUACAUUGUAGCGGUAGAGGAGCAUUCUGUAGUAGGGUGAAGUAUGAUCGAAAGGACAUAUGGACGAGGCAGAAGAGAGAAUGCUGGAAUAAGUAGCGAGAGCAAAGUGAGAAUCUUUGCCGUCGAAAGCCUAAGGUUUCCUGAGGAAGGCUCGUCCUCUCAGGGUAAGUCAGGACCUAAGCCGAGGACAAAAGUCGUAGGCGAUGGACAACUGGUUGAUAUUCCAGUACCACCUUUAGCGUUUGACUGAAGCAGUGACACAGAAGGAUAGGACGAGCGCGGUGAUGGUCAACCGCGUAGGCGGCACGAGGCCGGGAAGCAGUGAAGUACACUUCCCGCAAAGGCUGAGUGUUGACAGGACCGAAAAGAAGUAGGGAAGCGUCCGAGUUCACGCUGGCGAGAAAAGCUGCUAAGGAGCGAAAGGGUGCCUGUACCGCAAACCGACACAGGUAGGCGAGGAGAGAAUCCUAAGACGAGCGGGAGAACCCAUGUUAAGGAACUCGGCAAAAUGACCCUGUAACUUCGGGAUAAAGGGUGCCACAGAGAUGUGGCCGCAGAGAAUAGGCUCAAGCAACUGUUUAGCAAAAACACAGGUCUAUGCAAAACCGAAAGGUGAAGUAUAUGGGCUGACGCCUGCCCGGUGCUGGAAGGUUAAGAGGAGAGGUUAGCGCAAGCGAAGCUUUGAAUUUAAGCCCCAGUAAACGGCGGCCGUAACUAUAACGGUCCUAAGGUAGCGAAAUUCCUUGUCGGGUAAGUUCCGACCCGCACGAAAGGCGUAAUGAUUUGAGCACUGUCUCGACAAUGCAUCCGGUGAAAUUGAAGUACCAGUGAAGAUGCUGGUUACCCGCGCCAGGACGGAAAGACCCCAUGGAGCUUUACUCCAGUUUGGUACUGGGAUUCGGUACUGCAUGUACAGGAUAGGUGGGAGACGAAGAAGUUAGGACGCCAGUCUUAACAGAGUCGCUGUUGGGAUACCACCCUUGCAGUAUUGGGUUUCUAACCAGCCGCUGUGAACCAGCGGUGGGACAAUGCCAGGCGGGGAGUUUGACUGGGGCGGUCGCCUCCGAAAGGGUAUCGGAGGCGCUCAAAGGUUCCCUCAGAAUGGUUGGAAACCAUUCGAAGAGUGCAAAGGCAGAAGGGAGCUUGACUGCGACACCGACGGGUGGAGCAGGUACGAAAGUAGGACUUAGUGAUCCGGUGGUAUAAAGUGGGAUUGCCAUCGCUCAACGGAUAAAAGCUACCCUGGGGAUAACAGGCUUAUCACUCCCAAGAGUUCACAUCGACGGAGUGGUUUGGCACCUCGAUGUCGGCUCAUCGCAUCCUGGGGCUGUAGUAGGUCCCAAGGGUUGGGCUGUUCGCCCAUUAAAGCGGUACGCGAGCUGGGUUCAGAACGUCGUGAGACAGUUCGGUCCCUAUCCGGCGCGGGCGGAGGAUAUUUGAGAGGAGCUGUCCUUAGUACGAGAGGACCGGGAUGGACGGACCACUGGUGUAUCUGUUGUCGACCAACGGCAUGGCAGAGUAGCCAAGUCUGGAAGGGAUAAACGCUGAAGGCAUCUAAGCGUGAAGCCCCCCUCAAGAUGAGAUAUCCCUCCUUCGGGAGUAAGACCCCUUGAAGACUACAAGGUAGAUAGGGCAGAGGUGGAAGCAUGGCAACAUGUGGAGCUGACUGUUACUAAUAGGUCGAGGGCUUAAUCUG
rnacentral:rRNA from 1 species